GAUGAACGCUAGCUACAGGCUUAACACAUGCAAGUCGAGGGGUAGCACGGAGGAAGCUUGCUUCCUUGGGUGACGACCGGCGCACGGGUGAGUAACGAGUAUCCUACCUACCCAUUACUCGGGCACAGCCGCUCGAAAGAGUGAUUGAUUCCCGAUAUGUCAUUAGAGUAGAUCUAAUGAUGAAAGAUUUAUCGGUUAUGGAUGGGGAUGCGUAAGAUUAGGUAGUAGGCGGGGUAACGGCCCACCUAGCCGACGAUCUUUAGGGGUUCUGAGAGGAAGGUCCCCCACACUGGUACUGAGACACGGACCAGACUCCUACGGGAGGCAGCAGUGAGGAAUAUUGGUCAAUGGGCGGAAGCCUGAACCAGCCAAGUAGCGUGAAGGAUUACAGCCCUACGGGUUUUAAACUUCUUUUAUAUAAGAGUAAUGUGCACUACGUGUAGUGUAUUGCAAGUAUUAUAUGAAUAAGCAUCGGCUAACUACGUGCCAGCCGCCGCAGUAAAAC
rnacentral:rRNA from 1 species